rnacentral:rRNA from 1 species
GAUGAACGCUGGCGGCGUGCCUAAUACAUGCAAGUCGAGCGAAUGGAUUAAGAGCUUGCUCUUAUGAAGUUAGCGGCGGACGGGUGAGUAACACGUGGGUAACCUGCCCAUAAGACUGGGAUAACUCCGGGAAACCGGGGCUAAUACCGGAUAACAUUUUGAACCGCAUGGUUCGAAAUUGAAAGGCGGCUUCGGCUGUCACUUAUGGAUGGACCCGCGUCGCAUUAGCUAGUUGGUGAGGUAACGGCUCACCAAGGCAACGAUGCGUAGCCGGCCGGAGAGGGUGAUCGGCCACACUGGGACUGAGACACGGCCCAGAGUCCUACGGGAGGCAGCAGUACGGAAUCUUCCGAAAUGUACGAAAGUCUGACGGAGCAACGCCGCGUGAGUGAUGAAGGCUUUCGUGUCGUAAAACUCUGUUGUUAGGGAAGAACAAGUGCUAGUUGAAUAAGCUGGCACCUUGACGGUACCUAACCAGAAAGCCACGGCUAACUACGUGCCAGCCGCCGCCGUAA